rnacentral:rRNA from 1 species
GACGAACGCUGGCGGCGUGCUUAACACAUGCAAGUCGAACGAAGAGCGAUGGAAGCUUGCUUCUAUCAAUCUUAGUGGCGAACGGGUGAGUAACGCGUAAUCAACCUGCCCUUCAGAGGGGGACAACAGUUGGAAACGACUGCUAAUACCGCAUACGAUCCAAUCUCGGCAUCGGGACUGGAUGAAAGGUGGCCUCUAUUUAUAAGCUAUCACUGAAGGAGGGGAUUGCGUCUGAUUAGCUAGUUGGAGGGGUAACGGCCCACCAAGGCGAGGAUCAGUAGCCGGUCUGAGAGGAUGAACGGCCACAUUGGGACUGAGACACGGCCCAGACUCCUACGGGAGGCAGCAGUGGGGAAUCUUCCGCAAUGGACGAAAGUCUGACGGAGCAACGCCGCGUGAGUGAUGACGGCCUUCGGGUUGUAAAGCUCUGUUAAUCGGGACGAAUGGUUCUUGUGCGAAUAGUGCGAGGAUUUGACGGUACCGGAAUAGAAAGCCACGGCUAACUACGUG